CCCAGCCUCAAAGCCUCUGUCCCACCUGAGCUUGAGGUUCAGGCAUGGGGAGAGGAUCUGAGUGACAGGGAAAGGUGAAGCCACUCUGCCCUAACACCGUGUCCAGCCCACGUUGGAGAGGAGCUGCUCUGCUCCCGUGGGCCAGCCCGGCGUCACAGGCCAUUAAUCAGGGCCUUCACGCUAAAUAAAGCUGUCACUCAGCCAGGGAGGCUCCCAGCCCCACUAAAUCCAGCACUGACAACCCAGGACAUGGAGAGCUGUCAGUUAUUUGGGUUUUAAACACCAGCCAUCCCCUCUCAGAGCUGGGCCAUAAAGCUCCCUCCUAAUUACACAUUAGAAGGUUUAUGAGGGAAGAAGCUGCUGAGAGUUAAGGCCCGGCUGAAAGCCACUGGUGUUCCUCCUACAGAGGACACAAUUAAAACGUGGCUGUGCUUGUCAGAGGCAAAGGGCUGGAUUAUCAUGCAAAGCAGUGGAAGGACAAGAAUGGGAAAUGAAGGCUGACAAACUGUCAGCCCCGGUGUGUCGCUCGCCAGCAGAAGUGAAAAAGGCCCCAUGGCAGAUGCCGGGGAUGCAGCUGCACCCUUCACUUUGAAUUUACUGACUUCUGCUGGUUCGUGUCCAUGUUUGACACUGCGCUCCCUCAUUUGGUUAAAAAUAAAUAGAAAAGGAAGAAAACAGAAAAACACUACUCAAGACACCAGAAAGGGAACUAAAGUGAGAGCUGCCCUCAGGGCGUGGGAAGCAGAACCCAGCAUUUAUGAGGUAGACAAUUCCCACUCCAAGUAGAUGGGUUCUUUCCCUAAAUGUCUGUUGCUUUCAUGGAACCCAUCAUCUUGAAAGCUGGAGAGGGACUUUUUACAAGGGCAUGGAGUGACAGGACAAGGGGGAAUGGCUUCAAACUGCCAGAGAGCAGGGAUGGAUGGGAUGUCAGGGAGAAAUUCCUCCCUGUGAGGAUGGACAGGCCCUGAUACAGGUUGUCCAGAGAAUCUGUGGCUGCCCCAUCCCCUGAAAGUGUCCAAGGCCAGGUUGGAUAGGGCUUGGAGCCACCAGGUCUAAUAGCAAGUGUCCCUGCCCAUGGCAGGGGAUGGAACUGGCUGAUCUUUAAGGUGCCUUCCUAUCCAGACCAUUCCAUUUAGGUGCAAUUCUCUUCUAGUUGCCUGACAUCAUCCCCUGCUUGGUAAAAGCACACAAAGUCCAAAAUUGUGGUGGGGAGAGGAAGCAGAAAAGGAAAUCUCCCUCUAUUUGUCCUGGGUCAGGGAGACUCUUUCUGAGGUGACAGAAGCCAGGAAGAUGUGUCACUUAUUGAGAUGGUUGAGUGGUGGACGUGGCAGAGUUUGAUUUAUGGUUGGACUUGAUGGCAUUAAGGGUCUUUUCCAAUCUAAAUGAUUCUGUGGGGCAGAUUGACCCAACACCUGCACAGCUGCUGUGCACAGGCUGAUCCAUGGAUGGAGGUCUCAUGGGGCAGCUCCACACCCAGGGGCACUCCUGGCCUGCGGAUUCCCAGCGUGUUUCACAAACACCUCCCUUGCAGACGGGGGUUACUGGGUGAGACAGCUGGGAAUGCACAGGCCACAUACCCACCCCUAAAGCACAGUGACAGGAACUUUUGGGUGGGAAAAGGGAACCUUUGGAGCUGGGAAAAGAGGGGUGAAGCCAGCUUCUUCAUUCCUCCCAGCAGCACUGGGAACCUUAACAUCACUGUGCCAUUUGUCUUUUGCUCUGUAUGUCAAAGCUGAGGGCACAAUCUAUUCCCCAUUCCUCAGCCAGCCCAGCUGAUGUCUGGGGAGCACUUACAGUGGCAGAGACAGAGCCUGCUUAAUUGCAUUUCUUGUAAUGCACAAGGAGCUAAACUGGAAUCCAUUUCUCCAAGGACAGAAAAGUUGAAGGAAAAGAAAAAGUCUUCUGUUUCUGUAAUGUCUUCCUCUAGCACAGAUCACUCUGGAAAAAAAAUAAUGGUUUGCCUGCUUCAUCCCUGUGUGUGAGUGUACUCAAAAUGCAGAGGAGGUACUGAGCCUGGUCACCUUCCAUAAAGCCAGCAGAGAAACAGGGAAAUCAAAUGAGCAGUCUCAGCUGCCUGCUGCCACCAUUGCUAAACCCAGCAGGGCAGAGGAGCCCUGGGAGACACAGCAGGGCUCCGAAAAAUUCAAAGGGAAGUGACAAAAGGGAGUAGGGCUUGCCAUUUCUGACAGAAAGCCAUCCUCCUACUCUGAUGGAAGAGUCUUGGCAGGGAGCUACAGCAGGGAAAAUGAGAUGAUACAGCAUUUAACGUUUGGGGUAAUGAGGCCUAUAACAGAUGACACUUGAGAAGUGAAACACUAAGGUAGUGGUAUUGCAUUUAAAUAUUGGCAACAAACUAAAGCUUUUCAUCUGUCUGCUCAACGCCCCCUUUUUGACCUCAGAAGGAUAAAUCUCUUUUCUUUUCUUGAUUUUAUGUGAAGAGCACAAGUCAACUGCUCUUCUCUUGGAACGACUCCGCCUUAAAAACAAAGGUUGCUCCAAUCCACUUUCUACUGCCUGUAUAAAUCAACAUGCAAAUUAUUAGAAUGAUAUUAAAACAGGAGCUGCUCUGAAUGACCAGCCCUGAGAGGAAGAAUUAGUUCCCUGCUUUUGUUAAGCUCAUAAUUCAGAUUUCAGACUCUUCCGUGCAGAGAUGAGGAAGAAAAGCAGCACAGAGAGGAAGCCGCCGCUUGGGUGGAAUAAGAAAAUCUUCCAAUUAGUCUGUCUCCUCUCCUGGAUCACAUUUCACGCUUCCUACAGCUGCAACCAGAACGAAGGAUGAGAAUCCAGCAUACAAAUGCCUAGUUCAUUUGCUACAGCAGCAUGAAUAGGAUUAAAAUAAUCUGAAGAGGAAUUAAAUGCCUCAACAGUCAGGUUGCAAGAGCGGGAGAAUAAGACCUCUUGUGUGCGUUUCCAGGAUCAGUGGAGUGGGGCCAGCAGAAGUGACCCAGGGUUAAUGCAGCUCAGACCUGCCUUGGAGGCACUAUUUUAUUCCUACUCAAAAGGAGUGGGCCCCAAAUCCUGCAUCCUUGGCCAUGAGCUGUGAAAUGUUUGUUCACAUCCAACGAGGAGUCGAGUGGAUGAGUUUUCAAUGUCACCACUUGCAUGUGCUGGAUUUCCAAGCCUGCAAAUAAUCUGUACCAUGGGCUGCUGGUUUCCCUCUAAAAUACUCUGACUCACAAAAAACCUGUCUGGGGGAAACGUAAACUGGCAAGUGAUUUUAAAUGAACAGGUUUGGUUGAACUUGCUACCUAACAACACUGUUCAAAUAAGAAAAUAUUUUCUACCUCUGAAGAAAUAAGGACAGAACUCAAAAAGCUUGUGAAGUAGAAGCACAGCAGUGUCAUGGCUCUAAUUGAAAGCAAACUUGAUCACUCUGGGAAACCCCAGUGCUUUGAGAAGAGGUGAAACCAGCCUAUGAGGUUCAUGAAGAGAUUCAUGAGGACAGGCACUGCCCAUUGGCUUGGGAAGAUGCCAUGGCCACGUUAGAAAUGAUUCCUGAUCUACACUUGGUCUGUGGUGUGGUGUGAGAGUUAGACUGGAAGAGGGAAACAAACAAACAGAGCUGUGGCCACUGCACUGAUGCUCUGUGACUUACCUGACAGGUUGGUAUCAUUGGAGGGCAUUUACCUUGUAGGAUUAUCUGUUUAUCAGUCACUGAUCAAAUAAGAAAACCAGCUCUGGGUACAGGCACUGAACCAAGCAAGGAAUGCUGCCCUGCAGCUGCUCUUGACACAGCAGGAAACCCACAGAUCUCUCCCUCUGCAUAAGCCAAUGUGUCAGGAGAGAACAAUUGUAAAUUCUUUCUGGUUUUGCAUCCAGGAACCUCUGCUGGUUUCAGUAGCUACUCCAGUCCUGCCUCUCACUGCAGAGCAGUACAGUCAGAAUUAUGCACUGUGCUGUCAGGCUGCAGCUUGGAAAUCCCUGGCUGGCCUGUUUGCAUUAUGAUUUAUUUACCGUGUUUUGUUUAUUCACAUUAAACUUCCAGGUUUCAGGAAAAAAAGGAAACGCGUUUUUUGUGGCAGUUGUGAAAUGCACUGAAUCACGUCCCGUGACUCAGCUUCUCCUUGGAGCUGGAAAUUCAUGUGAAGCCCUGAGUGCACCAUUCCCUGCUGGUGCCCCAUGUUUGUAGAAGUGAUCUGUGACUUGUGAUUUGUUUUUACAGUCCCCCUCACCUUCUGCUGGCCCAGCUGUGAUGUUGGCUUGCAGCUCAGGUCCAUAGGCGAUGGUUCGGGCUUGCACUCGGAAUAAAUAGGUCAUGCCCUUGGUGAGAUCCCGGACCUUCAGCCAGCGCUGCCAGUUCCCCUUAAUGUCCACAGUCACCACCUUGCUCACCCCUGCAACAGCCACACAGGUAAAAAAAUAAGAGGGAGUUUCAAUGCAAAAAUAGAAAUCAGUGGAGCUUAUUACAUCUAGAUGGUAAGUAAAAUCAUCUUAACAGUUUGCUAAGAAAGUAUUUCUUACAAUUAGCAGGAGUUUAAGUAGUGAUAAUAGGCAAUUUUCAGCACUGAUAAGUAUAAUUAGAGUUUAAGCUUGAUAAGUGGGUACUGACAAGGAAAAAACCUUACAACACAUCUGGGAAAUUACCAAGAGACUACAUGUAACCUCAGUAAUUAUUCUGGGAAGAAAGGAGGAGGUAAACGAAGAGGAGUGCACAUUCCAGAUUGCUUCCCAGGCAAGCAUUUUUCUGUUGCUGCUUCCCCAAAUAACCUCCAACAUGGUCUGGAGGAGGAACAAGGGCCAGGUGUGUUCCAUUCAUCUCCUCCUGCAAUAUCCACCAUUCCCAUGUGGAUGUGAAGGAUGUGCAGCUCACCAGGACCUUGGGGCUCCAAAUGCCAUGGCAACAGGGGAUGCAACCAAAGUACUGUGAGCUCAAACAAGGCUGGAGCUGUGACUUGUGUUUCACUCUUCUCACUCUCUCAGAAUUUUUCUUACAGGGAUCAGUUAAAACCAGAGUUGUUCCUUUCACCAAAGCUUCACAUUUAGGUUCUCAAUGCUGCAGAAAGGACUGAGGGCAAUGACUGGUUUGAAAACAAAAGCUCCGGCUUUUACUGAAAUUUUCUAGAAGUAAGUCAAUGGAAAGAAUUUGAUUUAUAAAAGAUUUUACAGAAUAAAACGUUCAAAUAUA